AAUAGUUUUUUAAAUGGAAACUGGGAUGAAGGAAGUGAUGAAAUUUAUGCUGUCUUAGAUUAAAAUAUUAAAAUUAUUCAUUAAGUAAGAAUACUUAAAUGAGAUUAUGGGACGAGAAGACCCUAUAGAAUUUUAUAUAUAAUUUUAUUUAAUGAUUAAGUUUGGUAAAGUAAAAUAUAUAUUUAAUUGGGAGGAUUGUUAAAUUAAUUAAACUUAAAUUAAUAAAAAUACAUAGAUUAAUGAUGUAUAAAGAAUGGCUUUAUAAGUUAAAAAAGAAUUAAUUACCUUAGGGAUAACAGCGUAAUAUUUUUAGAGAGAUCUUAUUGAUAAAAAUGAUUGC
rnacentral:rRNA from 1 species